rnacentral:rRNA from 1 species
AUACGGAAGGUCCGGGCGUUAUCCGGAUUUAUUGGGUUUAAAGGGAGCGCAGGCGGAGAUGCAAGCGUGACGUCAAAUUUCGGGGCUCAACCCCGUCUCGCGUCGCGAACUGCGUCCCUUGGUUGCGGGAAGGGGAGGCGGGACGCGUGGGGUAGCGGUGGAAUGCAUAGAUAUCACGAAGAACUCCGAUCGCGAAGGCAGCCUUCCGGCCCGUCAACGACGCUCAUGCUCGAAGGUGCGGGUAUCAAACAGGAUUAGAUACCCUGGUAGUCCGCACAGUAAACGAUGGACACCCGCGGUUUGGCCUGUAUGGCUGAGCCGCCAAGCGAAAGCGUUAAGUGUCCCACCUGGGGAGUACGCCGGCAACGGUGAAACUCAAAGGAAUUGACGGGG